rnacentral:rRNA from 1 species
AGGUGUGGGAUCGAAUGGGUCCGUGCCGGAGCGAACGCGAUAAGCAUUCCGCCUGGGGAGUACGGCCGCAAGGUUAAUACUCAAACGAAUUGACGGUGCCCCGCACAAGCAGCGGAGCGUGUGGUUUAAUUCGAUGCUACACGAAGAACCUUACCUGGGUUUGACAUGUAGGUGGUAGUGAAUCGAAAGGUGAACGACCCUUCGGGGAGCCUACACAGGUGCUGCAUGGCUGUCGUCAGCUCGUGCCGUGAGGUGUCGGGUUAAGUCCCGUAACGAGCGCAACCCUUGCUCCUAGUUACAAGUGUCUAGGGGGACUGCCGGCGGAAAGCCGGAGGAAGGUGGGGAUGACGUCAAGUCAGCAUGGCCCUUAUAUCCAGGGCUACACACACGCUACAAUGGUCGGUACAAAGGGCAGCGAAACCGCGAGGCGGAGCGAAUCCGAGAAAAGCCGAUCGUAGUUCGGAUAGCAGGCUGCAACCCGCCUGCUUGAAGCUGGAGUUGCUAGUAACCGCGCGUCAGCCAUAGCGCGGUGAUACGUUCCCGGGGCUUGUACACACCGCCCGUCACGUCAUGGGAGUCGUAACGCCUGAGCCGUAGUCUAACUGGAACAGGAACGCUGCCGAGGGCGGGACUGG